rnacentral:misc_RNA from 1 species
GAUGAAGAACGUAGCGAAAUGCUAUACGUAAUGUGAAUUGCAGAAUUCAGUGAAUCAUCGAGUCUUUGAACGCACAUUGCGCCCCCUGGUAUUCCGGGGGGCAUGCCUGUCCGAGCGUCAUUGCUGCCCUCAAGCACGGCUUGUGUGUUGGGCCUCCGUCCUCCUCCCGGGGGACGGGCCCGAAAGGCAGCGGCGGCACCGCGUCCGGUCCUCGAGCGUAUGGGGCUUCGUCACCCGCUCUUGUAGGCCCGGCCGGCGCUUGCCGACACAUCAAUCUUUUUUCCAGGUUGACCUCGGAUCAGGUAGGGAUACCCGCUGAACUUAAGCAUAUCAAUAAGCGGAGGA